rnacentral:rRNA from 1 species
GAUGAACGCUAGCUACAGGCUUAACACAUGCAAGUCGAGGGGAAACGGCAUUGAGUGCUUGCACUCUUUGGACGUCGACCGGCGCACGGGUGAGUAACGCGUAUCCAACUUUCCCAUUACUGUGGGAUAACCUGCCGAAAGGCAGACUAAUACCGCAUAGUCUUCGAUGACGGCAUCAGAUUUGAAGUAAAGAUUUAUCGGUAAUGGAUGGGGAUGCGUCUGAUUAGCUUGUUGGCGGGGUAACGGCCCACCAAGGCAACGAUCAGUAGGGGUUCUGAGAGGAAGGUCCCCCACAUUGGAACUGAGACACGGUCCAAACUCCUACGGGAGGCAGCAGUGAGGAAUAUUGGUCAAUGGACGGAAGUCUGAACCAGCCAAGUAGCGUGCAGGAUGACGGCCCUAUGGGUUGUAAACUGCUUUUGUAUGGGGAUAAAGUUAGGGACGUGUCCCUAUUUGCAGGUACCAUACGAAUAAGGACCGGCUAAUUCCGUGCCAGCAGCCGCGGUAAUACGGAAGGUCCAGGCGUUAUCCGGAUUUAUUGGGUUUAAAGGGAGCGUAGGCUGGAGAUUAAGUGUGUUGUGAAAUGUAGACGCUCAACGUCUGAAUUGCAGCGCAUACUGGUUUCCUUGAGUACGCACAACGUUGGCGGAAUUCGUCGUGUAGCGGUGAGAUGCUUAGAUAUGACGAAGAACUCCGAUUGCGAAGGCAGCUGACGGGAGCGCAACUGACGCUUAAGCUCGAAGGUGCGGGUAUCAAACAGG